CCUCCCCCUUCACCAGAGCAGGGCAGCCACGGAAGGCUUGGCUCGAUUUCAGGGAGGCUCAGAUCCUACAGCCACGUCAAUCACGUCUUCACCGCUGGGGUGUUCUGGCUCCCUUCUUCAGUGAAAAGAUGUAUAGUAGUGUGACUCAACUGUUACUAACAAAGACAUUACCCAUGGCCUACCAUAUCACACCAAAAUUAAAUGACUAAAUCAAGAACCGUGCUGAACCAUUUAUUUGAGAUAUGACUGUUGUGU